rnacentral:rRNA from 1 species
AUUGAACGCUGGCGGCAGGCCUAACACAUGCAAGUCGAGCGAGUGGCGGACGGGUGAGUAUUGUCUGGGAAACUGCCCGUAGGAGGGGGAUAACUACCGGAAACGGUAGCUAAUACCGCAUACCAUCGGAUGUGCCCAGAUGGGAUUGGCUCGUAGGUGGGGUAACGGGUCACCUAGGCGACGAUCCCUAGCUGGUCUGAGAGGAUGAUUGACCACACUGGGACUGAGAACCGGCCCAGACUCCUGCGGGAGGCAGCAGUGGGGAAUAUUGCGCAAUGGGCGCAAGCCUGAUGCAGCCAUGCCGCGUGUGUGAAGAAGGCCUUAGGGUUGUAAAGUACUUUCGACAGGGAGGCGUUACCCGCAGAAAAAGCACCGGCUAACUCCGUGCCAGCAGCCGCGGUAAUAC